rnacentral:rRNA from 1 species
GUGCGUGAUCUGCCCUGUACUUCGGGAUAAGCUUGGGAAACUGGGUCUAAUACCGGAUAGGACUGCAUCGUGGGUGGUGUGGUGGAAAGCUUUUGCGGUAUGGGAUGAGCUCGCGGCCUAUCAGCUUGUUGGUGGGGUAAUGGCCUACCAAGGCGUCGACGGGUAGCCGGCCUGAGAGGGUGUACGGCCACAUUGGGACUGAGAUACGGCCCAGACUCCUACGGGAGGCAGCAGUGGGGAAUAUUGCACAAUGGGCGCAAGCCUGAUGCAGCGACGCCGCGUGGGGGAUGGACGGCCUUCGGGUUGUAAACUCCUUUCGCCAAGGGACGAAAGCGUAAGUGACGGUACCUUGGAUUAAGAAAGCACCGGGCUAACUACGUGGCCAGCAGCCGCGGUAAUACGUAGGGUGCGAGCGUUGUUCCGGAAUUACUGGGCGUUAAAGAGCUCGUAGGUGGUUUGUCGCGUCGUUUGUGUAAGUCCACGGCUUAACUGUGGGACUGCAGGCGAUACGGGCAUAACUUGAGUGCUGUAGGGGAGACUGGAAUUCCUGGUGUAGCGGUGAAAUGCGCAGAUAUCAGGAGGAACACCGAUGGCGAAGGCAGGUCUCUGGGCAGUAACUGACGCUGAGGAGCGAAAGCAUGGGUAGCGAACAGGAUUAGAUACCCUGGUAGUCCAUGCCGUAAACGGUGGGCGCUAGGUGUGAGUCCCUUCCACGGGGUUCGUGCCGUAGCUAACGCAUUAAGCGCCCCGCCUGGGGAGUACGGCCGCAAGGCUAAAACUCAAAGGAAUUGACGGGGGCCCGCACAAGCGGCGGAGCAUGUGGAUUAAUUCGAUGCAACGCGAAGAACCUUACCUGGGCUUGACAUACACCGGACCGGGCCAGAGAUGGUCUUUCCCUUUGGUGGCUGGUGUACAGGUGGUGCAUGAUUGUCGUCAGCUCGUGUCGUGAGAUGUUGGGUUAAGUCCCGCAACGAGCGCAACCCUUGUCUUAUGUUGCCAGCACGUUGUGGUGGGGACUCAUGAGAGACUGCCGGGGUUAACUCGGAGGAAGGUGGGGAUGACGUCAAAUCAUCAUGCCCCUUAUGUCCAGGGCUUCACACAUGCUACAAUGGUCGGUACAGCGCGUGCGCGAGUUCGUGAGGAUGAGCUAAUCGCUGAAAGCCGGUCGUAGUUCGGAUUGGGGUCUGCAACUCGACCCCAUGAAGUCGGAGUCGCUAGUAAUCGCAGAUCAGCAACGCUGCGGUGAAUACGUUCUCGGGCCUUGUCCACACCGCCCGUCUCGUACAUAGAAAGUAUUGUAUAGUCU